GCGGAAGUAGCUCAGUGGUAGAGCAUCACCUUGCCAAGGUGGGGGUCGCGAGUUCGAAUCUCGUUUUCCGCU
rfam:Acidaminococcus intestini RyC-MR95, complete genome.